rnacentral:rRNA from 1 species
AUUGAACGCUGGCGGCAGGCCUAACACAUGCAAGUCGAACGAGUGGCGGACGGGUGAGUAAUGUCUGUGAAACUGCCCGAUGGAGGGGGAUAACUACUGGAAACGGUAGCUAAUACCGCAUCCCAUCGGAUGUGCCCAGAUGGGAUUAGCUUGUAGGUGAGGUAACGGCUCACCGAGGCGACGAUCCCUAGCUGGUCUGAGAGGAUGACCAGCCAAACGGGAACUGAGACACGGUCCAGACUCCGACGGUAGGCAGCAGUGGGGAAUAUGGCGCAAUGGGCGCAAUCCUGAGGCAGCCAUGCCGAGGGUAUGAAGAAGGCCUUCGGGUUGUAAAGUACUUUCAGCGGGGAGGCGGGAACCGCAGAAGAAUCACCGGCUAACUCCGUGCCAGCAGCCGCGGUAAUAC